rnacentral:tRNA from 1 species
AGUUGGUAGAGCUACUGCCUUGUAAGCAGUGGGUCGGCGGUUCAAGUCCGUUCACCA